CGAUGAAGCCCUUCGGGGUGGAUUAGUGGCGAACGGGUGAGUAACACGUGGGCAAUCUGCCCUGCACUCUGGGACAAGCCCUGGAAACGGGGUCUAAUACCGGAUAUGACUGUCUCGGGCAUCCGGGACGGUGGAAAGCUCCGGCGGUGCAGGAUGGGCCCGCGGCCUAUCAGCUUGUUGGUGAGGUAACGGCUCACCAAGGCGACGACGGGUAGCCGGCCUGAGAGGGCGACCGGCCACACUGGGACUGAGACACGGCCCAGACUCCUACGGGAGGCAGCAGUGGGGAAUAUUGCACAAUGGGCGCAAGCCUGAUGCAGCGACGCCGCGUGAGGGAUGACGGCCUUCGGGUUGUAAACCUCUUUCAGCAGGGAAGAAGCGCAAGUGACGGUACCUGCAGAAGAAGCGCCGGCUAACUACGUGCCAGCAGCCCGGGGUAAUUC
rnacentral:rRNA from 1 species